rnacentral:rRNA from 1 species
CGGGAGGGGAUUAGUGGCGAACGGGUGAGUAACACGUGGGCAAUCUGCCCUGCACUCUGGGACAAGCCCUGGAAACGGGGUCUAAUACCGGAUACUGAUCAUCUUGGGCAUCCUUGGUGAUCGAAAGCUCCGGCGGUGCAGGAUGAGCCCGCGGCCUAUCAGCUUGUUGGUGAGGUAAUGGCUCACCAAGGCGACGACGGGUAGCCGGCCUGAGAGGGCGACCGGCCACACUGGGACUGAGACACGGCCCAGACUCCUACGGGAGGCAGCAGUGGGGAAUAUUGCACAAUGGGCGAAAGCCUGAUGCAGCGACGCCGCGUGAGGGAUGACGGCCUUCGGGUUGUAAACCUCUUUCAGCAGGGAAGAAGCGAAAGUGACGGUACCUGCAGAAGAAGCGCCGGCUAACUACGUGCCAGCAGCCGCGGUAAUACGUAGGGCGCGAGCGUUGUCCGGAAUUAUUGGGCGUAAAGAGCUCGUAGGCGGCUUGUCGCGUCGGUUGUGAAAGCCCGGGGCUUAACCCCGGGUCUGCAGUCGAUACGGGCAGGCUAGAGUUCGGUAGGGGAGAUCGGAAUUCCUGGUGUAGCGGUGAAAUGCGCAGAUAUCAGGAGGAACACCGGUGGCGAAGGCGGAUCUCUGGGCCGAUACUGACGCUGAGGAGCGAAAGCGUGGGGAGCGAACAGGAUUAGAUACCCUGGUAGUCCAC